rnacentral:tRNA from 1 species
ACCCGGCUGGCUCAGUGGGAGGAGCAUGGGACUCCUGAUCUCAGGGUCAUGAGUUUGAGUCCCACGUUGGGUG